rnacentral:lncRNA from 1 species
AGCCCUGGGGGGUGUGAAGCUGGCUCUCCCCAACCCACAUAAGUAUUGAGCACCCUGUGCCAGGCAUUGAGGGCAUUGUGGUCAAGGAGGUAGAAAGUCCUCAUAGUGAUUGUCUGCAGAGACGGCAGCUGCAUUCACCUCCUGCAGCUUCUGUAACAAAUGGCCACAUUUCAGUGGCUUAAAGCAGCACACAUUUUAUUUUCUUCCUGUUCCAGAGGCCAGAAGGCCUAAAUGGUUUCACUGAAUGAAAUGAAGGUGGCCACAGGGCUGUGUCCCUUCUGGAGGCUCUGGGGGUGAAUCGAUUCUCUGUCUUUUCCAGCUUCCAAAGGCUGCCUGCACUCCUUGGCUCGUGGCACCUUCUUCCAUCUUCCAGGCCAGCAGCACAGCAUCCUCCAGCCUCUCUCUGCUUCCAUUAUCACAUUGCCUUCUUCUUUCUGUUGUGAGAUCUCCCUCUGGCUACCUCUUGUUAAGACCCUUGAACAUUUAGGGCCCACCCAGAUAACCCAGAUCAUCUCUCCAUCUCAAGGGAGCCCCAGCCCAGUUCUAAGCCCUUUCCACUGAUGGAUUGGAUCAGGUCCAUCCGGGACAUCCUAGAUAUUUCUCCUUUACCUGACGUCAUGGGCUUUAAUCACAUCCACCAAAUGCCAUCACAGCAAUACCUAGAUGAGUAUUCAGGUGAAUAAGAGGACUGAGGCUUCAGCAGGUUAGCAAUUCAAAUUGCCUUCAAAUUGUCCUUCACAGUCUUCCUUUGAACAUAUGCCCCCCAAAUCCUAGGAGAGUGAAGGUGGC